rnacentral:rRNA from 1 species
CCCUUAGAUGUUCUGGGCCGCACGCGCGCUACACUGACGAUGGCAACGAGUUUUUCCUUCGCCGAAAGGUGUGGGUAAUCUUUUGAAACAUCGUCGUGCUGGGGAUAGAUCAUUGCAAUUUUUGAUCUUGAACGAGGAAUUCCUAGUAAGCGCGUGUCAUCAGCUCGCGUUGAUUACGUCCCUGCCCUUUGUACACACCGCCCGUCGCUACUACCGAUUGAAUGGUUUAGUGAGGACUCCUGAUUGGCGCCGCCGCCCCGGCAACGGAGCAGCGGACUGCCGAAAAGUUGUUCAAACUUGAUCAUUUAGAGGAAGUAAAAGUCGUAACA